GACAGGUCACUUCGGUCUGAACCCCUACAGCCAAUCCCCUCCACGGCCACUGCAACAGACAAGGAUGGCUCCCUGGGACACUGGAGGCGCAUCGCCCCGGAAAGACGGGACUCCCAUCGCCCCCUUCCCUUUAGGUCACCUCCCCUGACAGUGCUGAUGCUGUGGCCUUAACUAGCCAGAGGAUUUCAGUAGCCGGGCUGGCGGCCCUGCCUGCUUCAUCAGAGGUCACCCGUCGUCCCCGCAUUUGAGAGGACCUCCUUGGCCGACAGCGUCUCUGGGGGACCUCCCCCAGCUAAUCCUCACCCUACCUCCUCAAGAAGGCCAUCUGAGUCCAUCCCCUGAUGCCCAUUUGCGGAACGUUAACUCGGAAACGGACUCUUCGUGAUCUGAUCCUCUGGCCCAUCUAAAGAGUGUAGAACAGCGAAUCCAGUCUCAAAAUAAAUGCCGCUUCCCUCUA